rnacentral:rRNA from 1 species
AGAGUUUGAUCCUGGCUCAGGAUGAACGCUAGCUACAGGCUUAACACAUGCAAGUCGAGGGGCAGCAUGGUCUUAGCUUGCUAAGGCCGAUGGCGACCGGCGCACGGGUGAGUAACACGUAUCCAACCUGCCGUCUACUCUUGGACAGCCUUCUGAAAGGAAGAUUAAUACAAGAUGGCAUCAUGAGUCCGCAUGUUCACAUGAUUAAAGGUGUUCCGGUAGACGAUGGGGAUGCGUUCCAUUAGAUAGUAGGCGGGGUAACGGCCCACCUAGUCUUCGAUGGAUAGGGGUUCUGAGAGGAAGGUCCCCCACAUUGGAACUGAGACACGGUCCAAACUCCUACGGGAGGCAGCAGUGAGGAAUAUUGGUCAAUGGGCGCUAGCCUGAACCAGCCAAGUAGCGUGAAGGAUGAAGGCUCUAUGGGUCGUAAACUUCUUUUAUAUAAGAAUAAAGUGCAGUAUGUAUACUGUUUUGUAUGUAUUAUAUGAAUAAGGAUCGGCUAACUCCGUGCCAGCAGCCGCGGUAAUACGGAGGAUCCGAGCGUUAUCCGGAUUUAUUGGGUUUAAAGGGAGCGUAGGUGGACUGGUAAGUCAGUUGUGAAAGUUUGCGGCUCAACCGUAAAAUUGCAGUUGAUACUGUCAGUCUUGAGUACAGUAGAGGUGGGCGGAAUUCGUGGUGUAGCGGUGAAAUGCUUAGAUAUCACGAAGAACUCCGAUUGCGAAGGCAGCUCACUGGACUGCAACUGACACUGAUGCUCGAAAGUGUGGGUAUCAAACAGGAUUAGAUACCCUGGUAGUCCACACAGUAAACGAUGAAUACUCGCUGUUUGCGAUAUACAGUAAGCGGCCAAGCGAAAGCAUUAAGUAUUCCACCUGGGGAGUACGCCGGCAACGGUGAAACUCAAAGGAAUUGACGGGGGCCCGCACAAGCGGAGGAACAUGUGGUUUAAUUCGAUGAUACGCGAGGAACCUUACCCGGGCUUAAAUUGCAGUGGAAUGAUGUGGAAACAUGUCAGUGAGCAAUCACCGCUGUGAAGGUGCUGCAUGGUUGUCGUCAGCUCGUGCCGUGAGGUGUCGGCUUAAGUGCCAUAACGAGCGCAACCCUUAUCUUUAGUUACUAACAGGUUAUGCUGAGGACUCUAGAGAGACUGCCGUCGUAAGAUGUGAGGAAGGUGGGGAUGACGUCAAAUCAGCACGGCCCUUACGUCCGGGGCUACACACGUGUUACAAUGGGGGGUACAGAAGGCAGCUAGCGGGUGACCGUAUGCUAAUCCCAAAAUCCUCUCUCAGUUCGGAUCGAAGUCUGCAACCCGACUUCGUGAAGCUGGAUUCGCUAGUAAUCGCGCAUCAGCCACGGCGCGGUGAAUACGUUCCCGGGCCUUGUACACACCGCCCGUCAAGCCAUGGGAGCCGGGGGUACCUGAAGUACGUAACCGCAAGGAUCGUCCUAGGGUAAAACUGGUGACUGGGGCUAAGUCGUAACAAGGUAGCCGUACCGGAAGGUGCGGCUG